CAGCCGCCACGGUAACACGAAGGGGGCUAGCGUUGUUCGGAUCUACUGGGCGUAAAGCGCACGUAGGCGGACUUUUAAGUCAGGGGUGAAAUCCCGGGGCUCAACCCCGGAACUGCCUUUGAUACUGGAAGUCUUGAGUAUGGUAGAGGUGAGUGGAAUUCCGAGUGUAGAGGUGAAAUUCGUAGAUAUUCGGAGGAACACCAGUGGCGAAGGCGGCUCACUGGACCAUUACUGACGCUGAGGUGCGAAAGCGUGGGGAGCAAACAGGAUUAGAGACCCCGGUAGUCCCUGUCUCUUAUAC
rnacentral:rRNA from 1 species